rnacentral:rRNA from 1 species
GAAAGAUUCAUCGGAAGAGGAUGGGCAUGCGGCGCAUUAGCUUGACGGCGGGGUAACGGCCCACCGUGGCGACGAUGCGUAGGGGUUCUGAGAGGAAGGUCCCCCACACUGGUACUGAGACACGGACCAGACUCCUACGGGAGGCAGCAGUGAGGAAUAUUGGUCAAUGGGAGAGAUCCUGAACCAGCCAAGCCGCGUGAGGGAAGACGGCCCUAUGGGUUGUAAACCUCUUUUGUCGGAGAACAAAACCCGGGACGUGUCCCGGACUGCGUGUAUCCGAAGAAAAAGCAUCGGCUAACUCCGUGCCAGCAGCCGCGGUAAUACGGAGGAUGCGAGCGUUAUCCGGAUUUAUUGGGUUUAAAGGGUGCGUAGGCGGUCCGUUAGGUCAGCGGUAAAAUUGCGGGGCUCAACCCCGUCGAGCCGUUGAAACUGGCAGACUUGAGUUGGCGAGAAGUACGCGGAAUGCGCGGUGUAGCGGUGAAAUGCAUAGAUAUCGCGCAGAACUCCGAUUGCGAAGGCAGCGUACCGGCGCCAGACUGACGCUGAGGCACGAAAGCGUGGGGAUCGAACAGGAUUAGAUACCCUGGUAGUCCACGCAGUAAACGAUGAAUGCUGGUUGUCCGGGUCGAAUGAGACCUGG